rnacentral:rRNA from 1 species
GAUGAACGCUGGCGGCGUGCCUAAUACAUGCAAGUCGAGCGAACGGACGAGAAGCUUGCUUCUCUGAUGUUAGCGGCGGACGGGUGAGUAACACGUGGAUAACCUACCUAUAAGACUGGGAUAACUUCGGGAAACCGGAGCUAAUACCGGAUGAUAUUUUGAACCGCAUGGUUCAAAAGUGAAAGACGGUCUUGCUGUCACUUAUAGAUGGAUCCGCGCUGCAUUAGCUAGUUGGUAAGGUAACGGCUUACCAAGGCAACGAUGCAUAGCCGACCUGAGAGGGUGAUCGGUCACACUGGAACUGAGACACGGUCCAGACUCCUACGGGAGGCAGCAGUAGGGAAUCUUCCGCAAUGGGCGAAAGCCUGACGGAGCAACGCCGCGUGAGUGAUGAAGGUCUUCGGAUCGUAAAACUCUGUUAUUAGGGAAGAACAUAUGUGUAAGUAACUGUGCACAUCUUGACGGUACCUAAUCAGAAAGCCACGGCUAACUACGUG